CCUACGGGAGGCAGCAGUCGAGAAUCAUUCACAAUGGGGGAAACCCUGAUGGUGCGACGCCGCGUGGGGGAAUGAAGGUCUUCGGAUUGUAAACCCCUGUCAUGUGGGAGCAAAUUAAAAAGAUAGUACCACAAGAGGAAGAGACGGCUAACUCUGUGCCAGCAGCCGCGGUAAUACAGAGGUCUCAAGCGUUGUGCGGAAUCACUGGGCGUAAAGAGUGCGUAGGCUGUGUCGUAAGUCGUGUGUGAAAGGCGCGGGCUCAACCCUCGGACGGCACAUGAUACUGCGAGACUAGAGUAAUGGAGGGGGAACCGGAAUUCUCGGUGUAGCAGUGAAAUGCGUAGAUAUCGAGAGGAACACUCGUGGCGAAGGCGGGUUCCUGGACAUUAACUGACGCUGAGGCACGAAGGCCAGGGGAGCGAAAGGGAUUAGAUACCCGUGUAGUC
rnacentral:rRNA from 1 species